rnacentral:rRNA from 1 species
UGGGGAAUAUUGCACAAUGGAGGGAACUCUGAUGCAGCGACGCCGCGUGAACGAAGAAGGCUUUCGAGUCGUAAAGUUCUUUUAUAUGGGAAGAUAAUGACGGUACCAUAAGAAGAAGCCCCGGCUAACUACGUGCCAGCAGCCGCGGUAAUACGUAGGGGGCUAGCGUUGUCCGGAAUCACUGGGCGUAAAGGGUUCGCAGGCGGAAAUGCAAGUCAGGUGUAAAAGGCAGUAGCUUAACUACUGUAAGCAUUUGAAACUGCAUAUCUUGAGAAGAGUAGAGGUAAGUGGAUUUUUUAGUGUAGCGGUGAAAUGCGUAGAUAUUAAAAAGAAUACCGGUGGCGAAGGCGACGUACUGGGCUCAUUCUGACGCUGAGGAACGAAAGCGUGGGUAGCAAACAGG